rnacentral:rRNA from 1 species
AAUCUCGACUCAGACCAUAGUCCUCCGGCGAUCUCGGCUUCCUCUUCCUCAACACCUGCGCCGCCUGGUCCACGGGAGACAGUCCCGCCCCCGCCAGUGCCGCCUCGCUCUCCCCGCUCGCGGCCACCUCCAACGCCUCCUCCCACGCCUACGCCCGCCCCGGAUCCCACCUUCUUCGACGACGUCGUCGACGUCGUUGCCAACAGAUACGGCUGGGACCUCGACGCCGAGGUCCGGGUCUGGCCGCUCGAUGCCGAGGACGCGCUCGUUGGCGCCGUGCAGCGCUACGAGUUUCGCGCCCGCGCGGGGGGCGCCACGGUCGCGCUGGCGUGGGCCUCCGAUGGGGCAGUCGACUGGAGCCGCCCCGACGCCCCCGUGGUGGAGGAGGUGGUCGGGCUCGACGGGGUCGAAUUCGUCGCCGGCGACGACACUCUGAGGUUCGGCUUCGGCGUCGAAGGACCUGAAUCCUUAAUUGCAGAACCAAAACAGAGCAAGAGCAGUUUGUGUUUACAAGCGGGAGAGAGAAAAGGGAUUGGGGAGGCGGGGGCCAAGCCAAAUCAAUCAUUCAGGAUGACGAGUUUCUGGAGCCAAAUCGACAUGCGCCCUAUCCUCCUCCCGAAUUCUGCUCCUCCAGUGCACAACAUCAUCCCUACAGCACUUCAGCGUGGCCUCCAGGGAAGGAGAAGCCCCUGUGAACACCACCGUCCACCGACGGGAGAGAUUCAACCGGAGUUGCCACAGUACCGGUAG